GGAGAGAUGGCAGAGUGGUCGAAUGCACCGCACUCGAAAUGCGGCAUGGGGGUGACUCCAUCGGGGGUUCAAAUCCCUCUCUCUCCGCCA
rnacentral:tRNA from 1 species